rnacentral:rRNA from 1 species
UACGGAGGGAGCUAGCGUUGUUCGGAAUUACUGGGCGUAAAGCGCGCGUAGGCGGCUUUGUAAGUUAGAGGUGAAAGCCCGGGGCUCAACUCCGGAACUGCCUUUAAGACUGCAUCGCUGGAAUCCGGGAGAGGUGAGUGGAAUUCCGAGUGUAGAGGUGAAAUUCGUAGAUAUUCGGAAGAACACCAGUGGCGAAGGCGGCUCACUGGACCGGUAUUGACGCUGAGGCGCGAAAGCGUGGGGAGCAAACAGG